GACGAACGCUGGCGGCGUGCUUAACACAUGCAAGUCGAACGGAAAGGCCCUGCUUUUGUGUGGUGCUCGCGUGGCGAACGGGUGAGUAACCCGUGAGUAACCUGCCCUUUACUUUGGGACAACUUCAGGAGACCGGUGCUAAUACCUGAUAGGUGCUCCUGCUGCAUGGUGGGGGUUGGACAGCUUCGGUGGAAGGGGAUGUACGCGCGGGUUAUCAGCUUGUUGGUGGGGGAGUUGCUUACCCAGGCUUUGACGGGUAGCCGGCCUGGGAGGGGGACCGGGGACAUGAGGACUAAGAUACGGACCAGACUCCAACGGGGGGCAGCAGUGGGGAGUCUUGCACAGCGGGCGGAAGCCUGAGGCAGCAACGCCGCGUGCGGGAAGAAGGUCUUCGGGUUGUAAACCGCUUUCGCCUGUGACGAUGCGGGAGUGACGGUAAUGGGUAAAGAAGCACCGGCUAACUACGUG
rnacentral:rRNA from 1 species